rnacentral:lncRNA from 1 species
GAGAAGUUUAUCGUUUUGCAUAAUAUAGGUUCAAUUUGUGAGCUGUAUAACAAAAGCAGUAAUUGUUAAAGUAACUCUAUACCUGCUGUACCGGACGAUCGUGACGUGCACAUUAAAUAAAUAAACAUAGUUACACGUGGAAAAUAAACAGUUAUAACUUCCAUUGAAUGAGUCAAACACAUUUUGUAUAGCACUCCCUUGAUAUCAGGAAGCCACCAGACAUGACCCAGAGACCACUAAGCAUGUCUUUAGCAUUCGGUUACUUGGCCCACACAGCCAA